AAGCCUGAUGCAGCAACGCCGCGUGAACGAUGAAGGUCUUCGGAUCGUAAAGUUCUGUUGCAGGGGAAGAUAAUGACGGUACCCUGUGAGGAAGCCCCGGCUAACUACGUGCCAGCAGCCGCGGUAAUACGUAGGGGGCUAGCGUUAUCCGGAUUUACUGGGCGUAAAGGGUGCGUAGGUGGUCCUUCAAGUCGGUGGUUAAAGGCUACGGCUCAACCGUAGUAAGCCGCCGAAACUGGAGGACUUGAGUGCAGGAGAGGAAAGUGGAAUUCCCAGUGUAGCGGUGAAAUGCGUAGAUAUUGGGAGGAACACCAGUAGCGAAGGCGGCUUUCUGGACUGCAACUGACACUGAGGCACGAAAGCGUGGGUAGCAAACAGGAUUAGAUACCCUGGUAGUCCACGCUGUAAACGAUGAGUACUAGGUGUCGGGGGUUACCCCCUCGGUGCCGCAGCUAACGCAUUAAGUACUCCGCCUGGGGAGUACGCACGCAAGUGUGAAACUCAAAGGAAUUGACGGGGACCCGCACAAGUAGCGGAGCAUGUGGUUUAAUUCGAAGCAACGCGAGAACCU
rnacentral:rRNA from 1 species